AAGGCACUACCCUUUCUACUUUCCCUCCUGGCUAUAUGCUACCUAUCCUGAGGGUCGCUUAAACUGAACAGUACCCACAGAAAAGCUCUCAUCACUUGUGCCUUCAAUUCAACCAAAUAUAAAGGCACUACCCUUUCUACUUUCCCUCCUGGCUAUAUGCUACCUAUCCUGAGGGUCGCUUAAACUGAACAGUACCCACAGAAAAGCUCUCAUCACUUGUGCCUUCAAUUCAACCAAAUAUAAAGGCACUACCCUUUCUACUUUCCCUCCUGGCUAUAUGCUACCUAUCCUGAGGGUCGCUUAAACUGAACAGUACCCACAGAAAAGCUCUCAUCACUUGUGCCUUCAAUUCAACCAAAUAUAAAGGCACUACCCUUUCUACUUUCCCUCCUGGCUAUAUGCUACCUAUCCUGAGGGUCGCUUAAACUGAACAGUACCCACAGAAAAGCUCUCAUCACUUGUGCCUUCAAUUCAACCAAAUAUAAAGGCACUACCCUUUCUACUUUCCCUCCUGGCUAUAUGCUACCUAUCCUGAGGGUCGCUUAAACUGAACAGUACCCACAGAAAAGCUCUCAUCACUUGUGCCUUCAAUUCAACCAAAUAUAAAGGUUAAUCACUUUAUCAAGAGUCUAUUUUAACUAAAAUAAAUCCUGUUAUAUAAGUAUAACCGCUGGUGCACUGGGUUCUAAGAAACAGCAGUUAAGUCCACAUAAAUUGAAGUUAAUGCUAUAUCUCCCAAAGCUUCUGGUAACAAACAGAGCUCCUAAAAAUAGAGUAUAUAGUAUUUUGGGUUACUUCCUGCAUUAACAUUCUACUUGCCUGUUUUCCACUUGCCCAUAGUCAAUUUGGAACUGGA